GCACCCGCACAAGCGGUGGAGCAUGCUGUUUAAUUCGAAGAUACGCGAAGAACCUUACCUAGACUUGACAUCCCCGGCAAAGACAUGGAAACAUGUUGGAGGUUACCCGGGUGACAGGUGGUGCAUGGUUGUCGUCAGCUCGUGUCGUGAGAUGUUCGGUUAAGUCCGCUAACGAGCGCAACCCUUGUCCUUAGUUGCUAACAUUAAGUUGAGAACCCUAAGGAGACUGCCGGUGACAAACCGGAGGAAGGUGGGGAUGACGUCAAAUCAUCAUGCCCCUUACGUCUAGGGCUACAGGCGUGCUAUAAUGGCCGGUAUAAUGAGAUGCAAUAUCGUGAGAUGGAGCCAAACUCCAAAGCCGGUCUCAGUUCGGAUUGAAGUCUGCAACUCGACUUCAUGAAGCUAGAAUCGCUAGUAAUCCCGAAUCAGAAUGUCGGGGUGAAUACGUUCCCGGGUGUU
rnacentral:rRNA from 1 species